rnacentral:rRNA from 1 species
GGGGAAUCUUGCGCAAUGGUCGAAAGACUGACGCAGCGACGCCGCGUGUGGGAGGACGCCUUUCGGAUCGUAAACCCCUGUCGCCCGGGACGAACAGCCCUUUCGAGGGACUUGACGGUACCGGGUGAGGAAGCCCCGGCUAACUACGUGCCAGCAGCCGCGGUAAAACGUAGGAGACAAACGUUAUCCGGAGUUACUGGGUGUAAAGGGCGUGUAGGCGGUCUGUUAAGUCUGGCGUGAAAGCUCUCGGCUAAACCGGGAGAGGUCGUUGGAUACUGGCACGACUGGAGGAUGGUAGAGGCGUGUGGAAUUCCGGGUGUAGUGGUGAAAUGCGUAGAGAUCCGGAGGAACACCAGUGGCGAAGGCGACACGCUGGGCCAUACCUGACGCUAAAGCGCGACAGCAUGGGGAGCAAAC